rnacentral:rRNA from 1 species
GCCUGCAUGAAGCCGGAAUUGCUAGUAAUCGCGGAUCAGCAUGCCGCGGUGAAUACGUUCCCGGGCCUUGUACACACCGCCCGUCACACCACGAGAGUUUGUAACACCCGAAGUCGGUGGGGUAACCUUUUGGAGCCAGCCGCCUAAGGUGGGACAGAUGAUUGGGGUGAAGUCGUAACAAGGUAGCCGUAUCGGAAGGUGCGGCUGGAUCACCUCCUUU